GUCUGAGAAGGAUAACUCAGUUGGUUAGAGCAUGAUGCUCAUAAUGUCAAGGUUGCAGCUUCAAUCCCCUUACUGGACA